UAAAUUCGUUAUUCGAAACUACGAAAUUUCUCACGAAAUUACGUACUUCCGUUCAACCUUUCCCUAAUGACGCUUUCUGAGGAAAGUUACAAUUUCUACUCGUCCACUUGGUCCUGAGUCGCGGAAGAGGCAGCAGCGCCGAUCCAGUAGUCAAGCCCCCCCGGUGUGUUUAGUGACGUGUCCAACCUUAGCUUAGCUAGUAGUUUGUGCGGUCCGAUUCUGUGUGCGAAGAGGAAUUAAAAGCCGACGACGGCGUUCUGUUCUAGAGUCGGAACCAACCGCCUCCUACCAGCUCGUGCUCGCCACACCGCCACCAAAAGCCUUAGCCGCCCUGCUGACCCCGCGGUCUCAGCGAUCGAGCCCCGGAAGGCCCACUGGGAUCCGGAAGGGAGACCACACGCUACACGUGGCUCCAGGGAGAGCCAUCCAUUGCGCCAGCCGUUCCUGUCCAGCCGCUGGUCCAGAUUCGCCGCAGAAGUUCACCAGACCGUAGACGUCGGUCCUCGUGGUCACGCGCCGUCCAGGUUCCAGAAGGAGGCGACCCGUCCACCAGGCCGGCCAGCCGGCCAAGCCCGAUUUCAACCAGGCCGCCCCCUUAAGAUCGCGCGCCUUUCAUCUGCUCCGGAAGAAUAUCGCACCGCGCGGUGCACUAGCGACGCGUAAGCCAAUCAACGAAACCGGUCCGUGAGUACUCACCUAUAACGUAAAAACCGCAUGCGUACGCACUCGUAGACGUCGUCCGAGUUGCCAAAAACACACACACACACAUUUUCUAAGGCUCGUUGCCCUUUCCCGAGCCUAGUUCCGUUGGUCACCGUUACACCUGUGACCUCCGGGCUAACGUAACUAAGCCCCAGAACAAAUCCGCACACAGAUAGUUAGUAGAGAGAGAGAGAACCAAGAAGAGAAGAGGAAAUGAACACGUAGGACACUACAAACAUGUAACUUAAACCUAGGUUAAAAAUGUACAAUUAAAAACCACAUUUAGCAUG